GCUGGGUAUGGUGGUGCAUGCCUGUAAUCCCAGUCACUCGGGAGGUUGAGGCAGGAGAAUCGCUUGAACCCAGGAGGCAGAGGUUGCAGUGAGCUGAGAGCAUGCCAUUGCACCCCAGCCUGGGUGACAGAGUGAGACUCUGUCUCAA
rnacentral:SRP_RNA from 2 species